AUUGUGAAAGCAGCACUGCUUCUCCAAAGACGUCAUGGAGAAAUACUUCAUUCGUGAUAAUGGCAGCAAGGCUGCCACUGAUGCCCAGGAUGCAAACCAGGGUCAACCAAAUCUCGGGAUGGUGAGCAUACUGUCUAUUGCAACGUGCACAAGUAUGAACCCCUUGUGCUGUGCUGUGAGAGCUGUGACACCCUCAUCUGCCAAGACUGCCAGCUUAAUGCCCACAAGGAUCACCAGUACCAGUUCCUAGAGUAUACAGUAAAGAACCAGGAAAAGCUCCUGGCCUCCCUGGUGAAGUGCCUUGAGGACAAAUAUGCAACAUUGUAAAAUAGCACCAAGGAGGCUCACAGCUUGAUCUGCCAGGUGUCUGACGUACAGAAGCAUGUGCAGGUAGAUGUCAUGAUGGCCAUCCUGCAGAUGAUGAAGGAACUGAACAAGUGGGGCCAUGUGCUGGUCAGGGAUGCCCAGAAAGUGACUGAGGGGUAGCAGAAGUGCCUGGAGUUGCAGCCCUGAGCCUCAACCAAGAUCCAGAAGCACCAGGAGCACAUCUUAUAAUUUGUCUCUUGGGAUCUGGAGGGUAACGACAACACAGCCCUAUCGCUUUCUAAGAAGUUGAUCUAAUUCCAACUGCAUUGGGCCCUCAAGAUGGUUGUGGAUCCUGUGGAGCCACACGGAAAGAUGAAGUUUCAAUGUGACCUCAAUGCCUGGAACAAAAGUGCUGAAGCCUUUGGGAAGUUUGUGGCAGAGCGUCCCAGCACACAACUCAAUGGGCCCUGCACCCAUGGCCCCUCCAAGAGUCCCAGGGAUCCUGAGCAAGCAGGACUCUAGCAGUAGUCAACCCAGGGAGGUACAGAAAGGCUAUGCUUUGGAUCAGCACAUGAUCCCUACUCAAGUACAGAGCCCCAUGUUUCAGGCCUAAAGUAGUCUUGCUCAGGUGAGGGUGAGGUGAGUGGCCUCAUGCACAAGGUGCCACAAGUGAGCCUUGAACGUCUAGACCUGGAUCUCACAGCUGACAGCCAGCCACCUGUCUUCAAGGUCUUCCCGAGUAGCACUACUGAGGACUACAACCUCAUCAUUAUUGAGCAGGGCGUUGCUGCUGCAGCUGCUGGACAGCCAGGGCUGCACCCCCAGGAACCCCUGGUGACCCACCAUUACCUGGCAUGGCCAUCAUCAAAAAGGAGGAGACAGAGGCUGCCUUUGGAGCUCCUCCUGCCACAGAGCACCUUGAGACCAAACCUGUGCUGGUGGCUCUGGCAGAGAGUCCCAGUGCUGAGGGCCUCUGCCUGGCCUCACCCAGUGGCAGUACAAGCUCAGGCCUGGAAGUGGUGGCUCCUGAAGGCACUUCAACCCAAGGAGGUAGCCCAGGCACUGGACAACAGUGUGACCAUUUGCCAUGUCUGCCAGAAGCCAGGCAACCUGGGCAUGUGCUACCAGUGUGAGUUUUGCUUCCACCUAGACUGCCACCUUCCUGGCAUGCAGGAUGUGCCAGAGAAGGAGUGGAGUUGCUCACUGUGUCAGGUGGUACCUGACUUGAAGGAGGAGGAUGGCAACCUCACCAUGGAUUCUGUGGACAGCACUGGUGUGGUGGCCAAACUCUCACCAGCUAACCAUGAGCGUGUUCUGCUGGCUUUGCUCUAUCAUGAACCUUGACGCCCCUGCAUCAACUGGCUACCAACUACCUUCUCUCUGGACCAGCCUGAUGGCAGCCUAGACCUGACCCUGAUCUGCAACAGCCUCCAGGAGGAGUUGUCACCCCUCUACAGCUUUCCCCAGGAGUUUGCCCAGGAUGUGGGCCACAUGUUCAAGCAGUUCAACAAGUUGACUGAGGACAAGGCAGAUGUACAGUCCAUCAUUGGCCAGCAGUGCUUCUUUGAGACGCGCAUGAAUGAGGCAUUUGAUGACACCAAAUUCUCUGCUGUGCUGGUGGAACUCUUGUCCCUGAGUCUCCCCAGUGCUGGCCUGAGUUCCCAGGAGCUGUCUGGUCACCCUGGUGAUGGUCCCUGA